UACGUAGGGUGCAAGCGUUGUCCGGAAUUAUUGGGCGUAAAGAGCUCGUAGGCGGUUUGUCGCGUCGAAUGUGAAAACCCGGGGCUCAACCCCGGGCCUGCAUUCGAUACGGGCAGACUAGAGUUCGGUAGGGGAGUCUGGAAUUCCUGGUGUAGCGGUGAAAUGCGCAGAUAUCAGGAGGAACACCGGCGGCGAAGGCGGCUCUCUGGGCCUUACCUGACGCUGAGGAGCGAAAGCUGGGGGAGCGAACAGG
rnacentral:rRNA from 1 species